rnacentral:rRNA from 1 species
GAUGAACGCUGGCGGCGUGCUUAACACAUGCAAGUCGAACGAGUGGGAACGGGUGAGUAAUACGUGGGUAACCUGCCCAUCAGAGGGGAUAACACUUGGAAACAGGUGCUAAACCGAUACUGAUGGAUGGACCCGCGGUGCAUUAGCUAGUUGGUGAGGUAACGGCUCACCAAGGCCACGAUGCAUAGCCGCCGUGAGAGGGGGACCGGCCACAUUGGGACUGGGAUACGGCCCAGACUCCUACGGGAGGGAGCAGUGGGGGAUAUUGCACAAUGGGCGAAAGCCUGAUGCAGCGACGCCGCGUGGGGGAUGAAGGCUUUCGGGUUGUAAACCUCUUUCGCUAUCGAACGGGUAGGUGGAGAAGAAGCGCCGGCUAACUACGUGCCAGCAGCCGCGGUAAUAC